UUGAAAACUUAGUUAUUUUUGUGUUUGUGUGUGUAUUUUCUUAUUGAUGUGUGGAUGGAUGCAGCUUGGAGAUAUGGUGCAGCCAAGGGCUAGUGCUUAUAUCAGGCCUCCUCCCCAAUCCUGAAAUUUCACUCGAUUCCAUUUCUGUAUGUAUGAAUUAUCUGACGUGGGACAUGAUGUUCAUGUUGGGCCUCAGUACAGCAGCCAGCAUUCGAGUAGGCAAUGAGCUUGGGGCCGCACAUCCAAGGGUGGCUAUAUUUUUCGUGUUCGUCGUGGUGGGGACGUUCGUCAUCAUCAGCCUAAUCUUCAGCGCUGUUGUUUUGAUAUUUCAUUCCCCAUUAAGCAAGCUUAUUAUUAGUGAUAGUGAGGUUAUUGAGGCAGUCUCCAACCUGACUCCAUUGCUUGCCAUCUCUGUCUUCUUGAAUGGAAUUCAACCAAUUCUUUCAGGUAUUAUAUACAUCCUAACAAGACAAAAUGCUAUCAUGGAGUGUGGAAAACAUGUUUGGUGAGAGAGACUGUUGAUCCGGUGGGCCACUGGUGGAGACAUCC